rnacentral:misc_RNA from 1 species
AACGCACAUUGCGCCCCUUGGUAUUCCAUGGGGCAUGCCUGUUCGGGCGUCAUUUGUACCUUCAAGCUCUGCUUGGUGUUGGGUGUUUGUCCCCGUUUUGUGCGUGGGACUCGCCUCAAAGUCAUUGGCAGCCGGCGUACUUGCCUUGGAGCGCAGCACAUUUUGCGCUCUUUGCCCUGAACGUUGGCGUCCAUUAAGCCUACACUUUUGCUCUUGACCUCGGAUCAGGUAGGGAUACCCGCUGAACUUAA